rnacentral:rRNA from 1 species
GAUGAACGCUGGCGGCGUGCCUAAUACAUGCAAGUCGAGCGAACAGACGAGGAGCUUGCUCCUCUGACGUUAGCGGCGGACGGGUGAGUAACACGUGGAUAACCUACCUAUAAGACUGGGAUAACUUCGGGAAACCGGAGCUAAUACCGGAUAAUAUCUUGAACCGCAUGGUUCAAUAGUGAAAGACGGUUUUGCUGUCACUUAUAGAUGGAUCCGCGCCGCAUUAGCUAGUUGGUAAGGUAACGGCUUACCAAGGCAACGAUGCGUAGCCGACCUGAGAGGGUGAACGGCGACACUGGAACUGAGACACGGUCCAGACUCCUACGGGAGGCAGCAGUAGGGAAUCUUCCGCAAUGGGCGAAAGCUUGACGGAGCAACGCCGCGUGAGUGAUGAAGGUCUUCGGAUCGUAAAACUCUGUUAUUAUGGAAGAACAAAUGUGUAAGUAACUAUGCUCGUCUUGACGGUACCUAAUCAGAAAGCCACGGCUAACUACGUG